GAUGAACGCUAGCGGCAGGCUUAAUACAUGCAAGUCAAGGGGGUAGCAAUACAACCGGCGCACGGGUGAGUAACGCGUACACAACAUACCAUAUACUGGAGUAUAGCUUUGGGAAACUGAAGGUAAUCCUCCAUAACAUUGCGAGAGGGCAUCUGAUUGCAAUUAAAGUUCCGGCGGUAUAUGAUUGGUGUGCGUUUGAUUAGCUAGUUGGUAGGGUAACGGCCUACCAAGGCGACGAUCAAUAGCUGGCGUGAGAGCGCGACCAGCCACACUGGAACUGAGACACGGUCAGACUCCGUACGGGAGGCAGC
rnacentral:rRNA from 1 species